GCCUAUGGCCGUACCAACCUGAACAUGCCUGAUCUCAGAAGCUAAGCAGGGUUGGGCCAGAUUAGUACCUGAAUGGGAGACCGCCUGGGAAUACUGUGUGUGGUAGGCU
rnacentral:rRNA from 1 species